rnacentral:rRNA from 1 species
UACGGGGGGGGCAAGCGUUGUUCGGAAUUACUGGGCGUAAAGGCUCGUAGGUGGCCAACUAAGUCGGACGUGAAAUCCCUCGGCUUAACUGAGGACGUGCGGAAGAAACUGCAAGGCUCGAGUCCGGGAGAGGGGGGUGGAAUUCCCAGUGUAGCGGUGAAAUGCGUAGAUAAUUGGGAGGAACACCGGUGGCGAAGGCGGCCCCCUGGACCGGUACUGACGCUGACGGCGCGAAAGCGUGGGUA